rnacentral:rRNA from 1 species
GUCUAUGGCCAUACCACCCUGAAUGCACCUGAUCUCUGAUGUCAGAGGCUAAGCAGGGUUAGGUCUGGCUAGUACUUGGAUAGGAGAAAUGGAAUGUGCUGAAGCUUUUCAAAGAAAGCCUGAAAGAACUGGACU